AAUCCAUGCAGAGGACAUUUCCUCGGAGACUCUUUGAAUCUCUCCCAAGCCUCAUACAAAUUUUCAUCCUCCUUUUUCCUGAAUGAAUUCAGAUCAUUUUACAGCUUAGCAU